UAAAGGCAAGACGGAGGCUCACUGACAUACUUUAAAAUAUAUUUCAGCAUUUGUUAAUCGCUAAAAAUAUAAGCAGGAGAAUGUUAUCAUUGCACAUGCAUUGAAAAGUGU